rnacentral:lncRNA from 1 species
UUUAUUUGGCUUCUUAUGAAAGUGAGAGCCCAGAGAACCAAACAGAAAAAGAAAGGUGGAAAUCUCUAAGGUCAGUCUUUGUGCCAGGAUGGGUAUAGGGUGGGUGGAGGGAGGGGGUUGGGCUGCUUGGAAGAGGGCUAAGGGGCUUCUGAGAUACCUGCUCAUCAGUCUCCUGGGGCCUUGGCCAGACCAUAGACAGGGAGAAGAAUAAGCCCAAGUUCACAGGGAUUGGGACAGAACUCAAGGGCUAGGGUAAGUCCGUGACCACUGGUAGCUGGUCUUUGGGCAAUCAAGAUAUGUGUUCCAGGGCCAGAAACUCCCAGUCCAUAUCUGUACUCCAGAAAGCAAAACACACAUACCAUAUCCUGUUUAUUCUGCAUGUUAACACAGCUGAAUGGAGAUCAGAAACGAGUCACAGCAAUGGGCUCGUGAGGACUGAGCCAAAAAGACUUGCCAAACAUUCUCUGGCCACCUCCUCUCAUAUGCUGUGAAGGUGUCCAUGCUGGGGAGAAAUCAGGGCUGGGACCCUCAUCACUUUCUGGCAUUUUAAAAUCUACAGAUCUUCUAUUUUGGGGAAGACAUGAGAAGCCCAGAGCUGAAGGAGGAGGAAGAGAUGGAGCCAGCAGAGGCCAUCCACAGCCCCGCCUCAAAUGGCCCAGUUGGCGGAGGCAGAAGCAGGGCCUCACUACUUUGCAAAUCAAGACCUUGUGGCCUGGUACCCACCACAAUAGCUGCAUGGGUACAGGAAACCUACUGUGGGACUGCAUCCCUGGCAGACUAGACAGGGCCCCCAGACACAUGGGUGGCAUACGCCUUGGUGACUACCUGCCUUAAGGACUGUGGAGGCCACAUUGCCAGUCAGUCUGUCCAUCCUGGACAAGGACAUGGUGCUACUCCCAGAGAAUUGAGUGACUGCAAUCGCAUUAUCUUACUAAGUGACAUGAACCACAGAAGUCACACAGUUUGUCACCAGUUGGUUGAGAGUCUCUGGAACUAUAGCAGGCAUCAUGACAUGAUGUGAAAUAAGCCUAUACCAGCUCAGAGCCGACCAGCGGCCCCUGCCAUUCUGCUGACAGACUGCUACCCUGUCCCUCCCAAUGGGCUUGUCUCUGCAGCCCCAUGCACCCUUCCCUUUCUGGAUCCUGCUGAUAUCAGAAUAACUUUCUGGUGACGGCUGUGAAACAGUUUAGCAGGACACACGUGGAUCACAAAGUUGACAAUGUGAACAUUACAAUCCUGUUGCAUAGCUCCCUUGUAAACUUUAGAGUUGGUAUAAACACAUGUUCAUAAAUCCUGGAUAUCCAUGUCCACUCUGAGUCACUGACUUCUGGAUUUUAAGUAGCAUUCAACCAAGAUGCAGGGUUGUUUCUUAAAUCAGCCCCAGGAAUGUUGCAGCUGACAUUAAAGAGUAGGAAGUGGUGGCCAUUUCCUAUCCAUAG